AUGGAGCACGUACGGGGUGAUUGGAGCUCCGCCGCGGCUAUAAUGGAGCUCCGCCGCGGUUGCAAUGGAGCUUCAACGGAGCUGCAAUGGAGCACGGCCGCGGCUAUGAUGGAACUCCGACGACGACAUGGCCGCUGCAUUGCAGCUCCGGCGGCGUCGCGGGCGCUGCAUCGCACCUCCAGCGGCAUCAACAAGCACUGCAUCGCACCUCCGGCGGCGUCGCGGCCGCUGCAUCGCAGCUCCGGUGGCCUCGACGACCGCUCCAUAGCAGCUCCCCGUGCUCCGAUGCAGUGCUCGCCGUCGCUCCAGGUACUGCAUCUCAGCGCUCGCCGGCGGCUCCCCGUGCUCCGAUGCAGUGCUCGCUGUCGCUCCAGGUACUGCAUCUCAGCGCUCGCCGGCGGCUAG
rnacentral:rRNA from 1 species